GAUCAUUUCAGGCAAUAAGAACCCAUGUAACGACUAGUGGUCGUGGCUGAACAUUGUGAACGUAGUCUGGAAGACUUGCUUCGAGAAAGGAAACCUGUGAGCUGUUCAACGGUUUUGUGUAUAGCAUUUGAGGUUCUUCAGGGCUUGCAGUAUAUGAACAAACAUGGUAUAGUACACAGGGCAUUGUCUCCUCAUAAUAUCCUGUUGGACCGAAAGGGACAUAUUAAAUUGGCUAAAUUUGGACUUUAUCACAUGACAGCUCAUGGUGAUGAUGUUGAUUUCCCAAUAGGUAUGUGAAAGAGAAGAUACUUGGCAAGAUAGUUUUAAAAUGUAUGUAGAGAAGAACAAACACCUACAAAGAGCCUGCAUUUUCCCAAAGAGAAACUAAAAGGUAUCCCUCGUACUUGGCCCCUGAGGUAAUUGCACAGGGAAUUUUCAAAACCACUGAUCACAUGCCAAGUAAAAAACCAUUGCCUUCUGGCCCCAAAUCAGAUGUAUGGUCUCUUGGAAUCAUUUUAUUUGAGCUUUGUGU
rnacentral:lncRNA from 1 species